rnacentral:misc_RNA from 1 species
ACGUAUCUACCCGGGUGGCAGAGGGUGCGUGCCCCGCUCCGACCCACUCAAGGGCCGUGCAGCGGCCGUGCCCCGCCCCCGAACCUUCACAAACCCACCGUGCACCUUUGUCGGCGGAAGGGGCGCUGGCGAAAGCUGCGUCCUGGAGGCCGGAACCACAAACACAAAGUUUGAAGAAUGCUCUGCGGACCACGUGCCGCCUAAACUUGUAA